AGCUACAGGCUUAACACAUGCAAGUCGAGGGGCAGCAUGGUCUUAGCUUGCUAAGGCCGAUGGCGACCGGCGCACGGGUGAGUAACACGUAUCCAACCUGCCGUCUACUCUUGGACAGCCUUCUGAAAGGAAGAUUAAUACAAGAUGGCAUCAUGAGUCCACAUGUUCACAUGAUUAAAGGUAUUCCGGUAGACGAUGGGGAUGCGUUCCAUUAGAUAGUAGGCGGGGUAACGGCCCACCUAGUCUUCGAUGGAUAGGGGUUCUGAGAGGAAGGUCCCCCACAUUGGAACUGAGACACGGUCCAAACUCCUACGGGAGGCAGCAGUGAGGAAUAUUGGUCAAUGGGCGAGAGCCUGAACCAGCCAAGUAGCGUGAAGGAUGACCGCCCUAUGGGUUGUAAACUUCUUUUAUAAAGGAAUAAAGUCGGGUAUGCAUACCCGUUUGCAUGUACUUUAUGAAUAAGGAUCGGCUAACUCCGUGCCAGCAGCCGCGGUAAUACGGAGGAUCCGAGCGUUAUCCGGAUUUAUUGGGUUUAAAGGGAGCGUAGAUGGAUGUUUAAGUCAGUUGUGAAAGUUUGCGGCUCAACCGUAAAAUUGCAGUUGAUACUGGAUAUCUUGAGUGCAGUUGAGGCAGGCGGAAUUCGUGGUGUAGCGGUGAAAUGCUUAGAUAUCACGAAGAACUCCGAUUGCGAAGGCAGCCUGCUAAGCUGCAACUGACAUUGAGGCUCGAAAGUGUGGGUAUCAAACAGGAUUAGAUACCCUGGUAGUCCACACGGUAAACGAUGAAUACUCGCUGUUUGCGAUAUACUGCAAGCGGCCAAGCGAAAGCGUUAAGUAUUCCACCUGGGGAGUACGCCGGCAACGGUGAAACUCAAAGGAAUUGACGGGGGCCCGCACAAGCGGAGGAACAUGUGGUUUAAUUCGAUGAUACGCGAGGAACCUUACCCGGGCUUAAAUUGCAGAUGAAUUACGGUGAAAGCCGUAAGCCGCAAGGCAUCUGUGAAGGUGCUGCAUGGUUGUCGUCAGCUCGUGCCGUGAGGUGUCGGCUUAAGUGCCAUAACGAGCGCAACCCUUGUUGUCAGUUACUAACAGGUUCUGCUGAGGACUCUGACAAGACUGCCAUCGUAAGAUGUGAGGAAGGUGGGGAUGACGUCAAAUCAGCACGGCCCUUACGUCCGGGGCUACACACGUGUUACAAUGGGGGGUACAGAGGGCCGCUACCACGCGAGUGGAUGCCAAUCCCAAAAACCUCUCUCAGUUCGGACUGGAGUCUGCAACCCGACUCCACGAAGCUGGAUUCGCUAGUAAUCGCGCAUCAGCCACGGCGCGGUGAAUACGUUCCCGGGCCUUGUACACACCGCCCGUCAAGCCAUGGGAGCCGGGGGUGCCUGAAGUGCGUAACCGCGAGGAGCGCCCUAGGGUAAAACUGGUGACUGGGGCU
rnacentral:rRNA from 1 species